AUACAUAUCUCCUCCUAUCAGAAAAUCAUCUGCUUAUAUCCGUUCUUAUUGGUUUAAUAUCUGAUAUGUCCUUUAUUUGAGGACUAUAUAUUAAAUUGAUUUUUGAAACGGGGAUGGAAUAGGAGCUUGCUCUGUCCACCCCAUGCAUCGAUCUGGUAUUGCAGUGCCUCCAGGAACGGGAAAAAAAA